UUAGUUGGUGGGGUAAUGGCCUACCAAGGCAAUGACGCGUAGCGGGUUUGAGAGGAUGAUCCGCCACACUGGUACUGAGACACGGACCAGACUCCUACGGGAGGCAGCAGUGAGGAAUAUUGCACAAUGGGGGAAACCCUGAUGCAGCAACGCCGCGUGGAGGAUGACGCAUUUCGGUGUGUAAACUCCUUUUAUAUGUCAAGAAAAUGACGGUAGCAUAUGAAUAAGCACCGGCUAACUCCGUGCCAGCAGCCGCGGUAAUACGGAGGGUGCAAGCGUUAUUCGGAAUCACUGGGCGUAAAGGACGCGUAGGCGGGAUGUCAAGUCAGAUGUGAAAUCCUAUGGCUCAACCAUAGAACUGCAUUUGAAACUGGCAACCUAGAGUAUGGGAGGGGGAGAUGGAAUUAGUGGUGUAGGGGUAAAAUCCGUAGAUAUCACUAGGAAUACCAAAAGCGAAGGCGAUCUCCUGGAACAAUACUGACGCUAAGGCGUGAAAGCGUGGGGAGCAAACGGGAUUAGAUACCCCGGUAGUCCACGCCCUAAACGAUGAACACUAGUCGUCGCUCUGCUAGUCAGGGCGGUGAUGCACUUAACAGAUUAAGUGUUCCGCCUGGGGAGUACGGUCGCAAGAUUAAAACUCAAAGGAAUAGACGGGGACCCGCACGAGUGGUGGAGCAUGUGGUUUAAUUCGAAUAUACGCGAAGAACCUUACCUAGCCUUGACAUUGAUAGAACACCCUAGAGAUAGAGUGUUGCCCUUCGGGGAACUUGAAAACAGGUGCUGCACGGCUGUCGUCAGCUCGUGUCGUGAGAUGUUGGGUUAAGUCCCGCAACGAGCGCAACCCUCGUCCUUAGUUGCCAGCAGUUCGGCUGGGCACUCUAAGGAGACUGCCUUCGCAAGGAGGAGGAAGGUGAGGACGACGUCAAGUCAUCAUGGCCCUUAUGGCUAGGGCUACACACGUGCUACAAUGGGGCGUACAGAGAGUUGCGAUACCGCGAGGUGGAGCCAAUCUCAUAAAGCGUCUCUCAGUUCGGAUUGGAGUCUGCAACUCGACUCCAUGAAGCUGGAAUCACUAGUAAUCGUAGAUCAGCAAUGCUACGGUGAAUACGUUCCCGGGUCUUGUACUCACCGCCCGUCACACCAUGGGAGUUGAUUUCACCCGAAAUUGGGAAGCUAACCUUCGGGGGGCUACCACUUACGGUGGAAUUAGCGACUGGGGUGAA
rnacentral:rRNA from 1 species